GUAGGGUGCAAGCGUUAAUCGGAAUUACUGGGCGUAAAGCGUGCGCAGGCGGGUUUUGUAAGUCUGUCGUGAAAGCCCCCGGGGCUCAACCUGGGAAUUGCGACGGAGACUGCAAGGCUUGAAUCUGGCAGAGGGGGGUAGAAUUCCACGUGUAGCAGUGAAAUGCGUAGAGAUGUGGAGGAACACCGAUGGCGAAGGCAGCCCCCUGGGUCAAGAUUGACGCUCAUGCACGAAAGCGUGGGGAGCAAACAGGAUUAGAUACCCUGGUAGUCCACGCCCUAAACGAUGUCUACUAGUUGUCGGGUUUUAAUUAACUUGGUAACGCAGCUAACGCGUGAAGUAGACCGCCUGGGGAGUACGGUCGCAAAGAUUAA
rnacentral:rRNA from 1 species